AACGAACGCUGGCGGCAGGCCUAACACAUGCAAGUCGAGCGCCUCAGCAAUGGGGAGCGGCAGACGGGUGAGUAACGCGUGGGUAUCUACCUAGUGGUGCGGAAUAGCCCAGGGAAACUUGGAGUAAUACCGCAUAAGCCCGAAAGGGGAAAGAUUUAUCGCCAUUAGAUGAGCCCGCGUUGGAUUAGCUAGUUGGUGGGGUAACGGCCCACCAAGGCGACGAUCCAUAGCUGGUCUGAGAGGAUGAUCAGCCACACUGGGACUGAGACACGGCCCAGACUCCUACGGGAGGCAGCAGUGGGGAAUAUUGGACAAUGGGCGCAAGCCUGAUCCAGCCAUGCCGCGUGAGUGACGAAGGUCUUCGGAUUGUAAAGCUCUUUUGGCGGGGACGAUAAUGACGGUACCCGCAGAAUAAGCCCCGGCUAACUUCGUGCCAGCCGCCGCCGUAACAC
rnacentral:rRNA from 1 species